CCUACGGGUGGCAGCAGUGGGGAAUAUUGGACAAUGGGGGCAACCCUGAUCCAGCCAUGCCGCGUGUGUGAAGAAGGCCCUCGGGUUGUAAAGCACUUUCAGUGAGGAAGAACGCCUGGUGGUUAAUACCCAUCAGGAAAGACAUCACUCACAGAAGAAGCACCGGCUAACUCCGUGCCAGCAGCCGCGGUAAUACGGAGGGUGCGAGCGUUAAUCGGAAUUACUGGGCGUAAAGCGCGCGUAGGUGGCUUGAUAAGCCGGUUGUGAAAGCCCCGGGCUCAACCUGGGAACGGCAUCCGGAACUGUCAAGCUAGAGUGCAGGAGAGGAAGGUAGAAUUCCCGGUGUAGCGGUGAAAUGCGUAGAGAUCGGGAGGAAUACCAGUGGCGAAGGCGGCCUUCUGGACUGACACUGACACUGAGGUGCGAAAGCGUGGGUAGCAAACAGGAUUAGUUACCCUUGUAGUC
rnacentral:rRNA from 1 species